rnacentral:rRNA from 1 species
GAUGAACGCUAGCGGCAGGCCUAAUACAUGCAAGUCGGACGGGAUUCAGGAGCUUGCUUCUGAUGAGAGUGGCGCACGGGUGCGUAACACGUAUGUAACCUACCUUUAUCAGGGGGAUAGCCUCUCGAAAGAGAGAUUAAGCCCGCAUAAAAUCACAGCACAGCAUUGUGUAAUGAUCAAAUAUUUAUAGGAUAAAGAUGGGCAUGCGGAACAUUAGCUAGAUGGCGGGGUAACGGCCCACCAUGGCGACGAUGUUUAGGGGAUCUGAGAGGAUGGCCCCCCACACUGGUACUGAGACACGGACCAGACUCCUACGGGAGGCAGCAGUAAGGCAUAUUGGUCAAUGGGCGGAAGCCUGAACCAGCCAUGCCGCGUGCAGGAAGACGGCCCUACGGGUUGUAAACUGCUUUUAUACGGGAAUAAACCCAGAUACGUGUAUCUGGCUGAAUGUACUGUAAGAAUAAGGAUCGGCUAACUCCGUG